UCUCAGCUUCCCUAUCAAUGUAAACAUAUUGUUCCCCAGGCUCAAUCUCAGCUUCCCUAUCAAUGUAAACAUAUGUUUCCCCAUGUCAAUCUCAGCUUCCUAUCAAUGUAAACAUAUGUUUCCCCAUGCCAUCUCAGCUUCCCUAUAAAUGUAAACAUAUGUUUCCCCAUGCCAAUCUCAGCUUCCCUAUCAAUGUAAACAUAUGUUCCCCCAUGCCAAUCUCAGCUUCCCUAUCAAUGUAACAUAUGUUUCCCCAUGCCAAUCUCAGCUUCUAUCAAACUAAACAUCUUUCCCAUGCCAAUCUCAGCUUCCCUAUCAAUGUAAACAUAUGUUCACCAUGCCAAUCUCAGCUUCCCUAUCAAUGUAAACAUAUGUUCCCCAUGCCAAUCUCAGCUUCCCUAUCAAUGUAAACAUAUGUUCCCCAUGCCAACUCAGCUUCCCUAUCAAUGUAAACAUAUGUUCACCUGCCAAUCUCAGCUUCCCUAUCA
rnacentral:lncRNA from 1 species